CAGUCGCCACGGGAAUACAGAGGGUGCAAGCGUUAAUCGGAAUUACUGGGCGUAAAGCGCGCGUAGGUGGUUUGUUAAGUUGGAUGUGAAAGCCUCGGGCUCAACCUGGGAACUGCAUCCAAAACUGGCAAGCUAGAGUACGGUAGAGGGUGGUGGAAUUUCCUGUGUAGCGGUGAAAUGCGUAGAUAUAGGAAGGAACACCAGUGGCGAAGGCGACCACCUGGACUGAUACUGACACUGAGGUGCGAAAGCGUGGGGAGCAAACAGGAUUAGAUACCCCUGUAGUCCCUGUCUCUUAUAC
rnacentral:rRNA from 1 species